UUUUUCUAUGCAUAUAUGUAUGUACAAUGCAAUGCGUGAGACUCAAAUCAUCAGAGAAAACAUGAUCAAAUACUUGGUACAUCCCCCAAACUUAGUUCCCAUAGUCUAUGUGUUAGGAAGUUGAAGGAGAUACCGAAAAGAGAGAAAAAUGCAAAGAAAAACUGGUAUAUACAAUGGAAAGGUGGAGGAGUACCUCAAUAUAGAGCGUGGGAAGAGGCUGAUGCCUCAUCAUUGGUGUCAGCUUCCUUAUCUGUUGAGGCAAGGGAUGGAGACUUGUUUCCUGAAUCGGAUGGUUGAGCUGGUGGGUUUCGCUUCCGGCGGAGCAGCUAUUUCUUGGUGGCGGGGAAACAAAGUGCCAAAGGAUCUAUUGGGGGUUGCGGCUGGGGGGUAAGGAAGUUAAAGUCUGAUGAUGAGCAUCUUGCCACAUCUCCUCUAGUUAGUAUAUCAGCCACCUUCUUCAUGAACUGAGCUGAAGCUUCUGCUUGCCUCUUCACAGUCUUACUCAACUCCUUACAUUUGGCUUUGAGCUUGAAGAUGGUUCUGUCCUGAGCUUUGUUCCACCUUUGGAGGUUGCCAAUAUGCUCAUGAGCUUGGCGAAGGGGACCAUUGGGUAAGGCUCCAGGAC
rnacentral:lncRNA from 1 species